CGCAUAAAUGAGGUCAUUCUACACUUUUAAAAGGGGGGUUUUGUGUGAAAACGCGAGCCCCCUCCGAGAUGAUCCCAAAGGGGUGCCCACGCGGUGAUGCACAAAGGGUGAGAUGGAUUAUUAUGUGAGGCGACACACUCGGGCGUGCACGACUUUGAGUCAGCGACAGCCCUCGCAUGCCCCUCUCACAUUUUGUACGAUAAUGAUCCUUCCGCAGGUUCACCUACGGAAACCUUGUUACGACUUUUACUUCCUCUAAAUGACCAAGA
rnacentral:misc_RNA from 1 species